GCCUGGCUGGCUCAGUCAGUAGAGCGUGUGACUCUCGAUCUCAGGGUUGUGAGUUUGAGUCCUGCAUCGGGUG
rnacentral:tRNA from 1 species